GACGAACCGUGCGAACGUUAUUCGGAAUCACUGGGCUUAAAGCGCGUGUAGGCGGGUGGGUACGUCGGUCGCUGAAAGCCCCCGGCUCAACCGGGGAACGGGCGCCGAUACGGCUCGCCUCGAGCGGGGUAGGGGGGCCUGGAACUUCCGGUGGAGCGGUGAAAUGCGUUGAGAUCGGAAGGAACGCCCGUGGCGAAAGCGAGGCCCUGGACCCUUUCUGACGCUGAGACGCGAAAGCCAGGGGAGCGAACGG
rnacentral:rRNA from 1 species